AGAUAAAAUACUAUAUAAUUAAUUUGUUGGCUUAAAGAGGCAGUAUUCUAUCUGUGGCGGGAGGUCAGGUUGGACUAAGUCACGUUCGAAAUAGCGGGAGGUUCGGUUGCGCCGAGUCAAUGUUCGAAGUAGCGGAAGAUUAAUUAUGUCAAGUCAUAAUCGAGACCCGUGGGUACUGUGUCUGUACGCUAUAAGUGAAUUGAUUGCAACUUUUUAAUGGUUAGCACCAACAAUCCGAUAAAUAGUAUCAGAGUAAGAGGUCGCAAGUUUCGACUCCCACAUGCCUAGGUUGGGACGAGUCACGUUCAAAAUA
rnacentral:lncRNA from 1 species